GGUUAAGCGACUAAGCGUACACGGUGGAUGCCCUGGCAGUCAGAGGCGAUGAAGGACGUGCUAAUCUGCGAUAAGCGUCGGUAAGGUGAUAUGAACCGUUAUAACCGGCGAUUUCCGAAUGGGGAAACCCAGUGUGUUUCGACACACUAUCAUUAACUGAAUCCAUAGGUUAAUGAGGCGAACCGGGGGAACUGAAACAUCUAAGUACCCCGAGGAAAAGAAAUCAACCGAGAUUCCCCCAGUAGCGGCGAGCGAACGGGGAGCAGCCCAGAGCCUGAAUCAGUGUGUGUGUUAGUGGAAGCGUCUGGAAAGGCGCGCGAUACAGGGUGACAGCCCCGUACACAAAAAUGCACAUGCUGUGAGCUCGAUGAGUAGGGCGGGACACGUGGUAUCCUGUCUGAAUAUGGGGGGACCAUCCUCCAAGGCUAAAUACUCCUGACUGACCGAUAGUGAACCAGUACCGUGAGGGAAAGGCGAAAAGAACCCCGGCGAGGGGAGUGAAAAAGAACCUGAAACCGUGUACGUACAAGCAGUGGGAGCACGCUUAGGCGUGUGACUGCGUACCUUUUGUAUAAUGGGUCAGCGACUUAUAUUCUGUAGCAAGGUUAACCGAAUAGGGGAGCCGAAGGGAAACCGAGUCUUAACUGGGCGUUAAGUUGCAGGGUAUAGACCCGAAACCCGGUGAUCUAGCCAUGGGCAGGUUGAAGGUUGGGUAACACUAACUGGAGGACCGAACCGACUAAUGUUGAAAAAUUAGCGGAUGACUUGUGGCUGGGGGUGAAAGGCCAAUCAAACCGGGAGAUAGCUGGUUCUCCCCGAAAGCUAUUUAGGUAGCGCCUCGUGAAUUCAUCUCCGGGGGUAGAGCACUGUUUCGGCAAGGGGGUCAUCCCGACUUACCAACCCGAUGCAAACUGCGAAUACCGGAGAAUGUUAUCACGGGAGACACACGGCGGGUGCUAACGUCCGUCGUGAAGAGGGAAACAACCCAGACCGCCAGCUAAGGUCCCAAAGUCAUGGUUAAGUGGGAAACGAUGUGGGAAGGCCCAGACAGCCAGGAUGUUGGCUUAGAAGCAGCCAUCAUUUAAAGAAAGCGUAAUAGCUCACUGGUCGAGUCGGCCUGCGCGGAAGAUGUAACGGGGCUAAACCAUG
rnacentral:rRNA from 1 species